CCUACGGGGGGCAGCAGUGAGGAAUAUUGGUCAAUGGGCGGGAGCCUGAACCAGCCAAGCCGCGUGAGGGAAGAAGGUACAGCGUAUCGUAAACCUCUUUUGUCAGGGAACAAAGGCGGGGACUAGUCCCCGGAUGAGGGUACCUGAUGAAAAAGCAUCGGCUAACUCCGUGCCAGCAGCCGCGGUAAUACGGAGGAUGCGAGCGUUAUCCGGAUUUAUUGGGUUUAAAGGGUGCGUAGGGGGCCUGUUAAGUCAGCGGUAAAAGCCCGGGGCUCAACCCCGGCGAGCCGUUGAUACUGGCAGUCUAGAGUUGGAUAGAGGUAGGCGGAAUGCGCGGUGUAGCGGUGAAAUGCUUAGAUAUCGCGCAGAACCCCGAUUGCGAAGGCAGCGUACCGGCUCCACACUGACGUUGAUGCACGAAAGUGUGGGUAUCGAACAGGAUUAGAUACCCGGGUAGUC
rnacentral:rRNA from 1 species